rnacentral:rRNA from 1 species
UACGUAGGGGGCGAGCGUUGUCCGGAGUUACUGGGCGUAAAGGGCGUGCAGGCGGCGCGGUAAGUUUAGCGUGACAGUCUCCGGCUUAACUGGAGAAGGCCGCUGAAAACUGCUGGACUUGAGGGCCAGAGAGGGACAUAGAAUUCCGGGUGGAGUGGUGAAAUGCGUAGAUAUCCGGAGGAAUACCAAAGGCGAAGGCAGUGUCCUGGCUGGCAACUGACGCUGAGGCGCGAAAGCUAGGGGAGCGAACAGG